UACGUAGGAUGCAAGCGUUGUCCGGAAUUAUUGGGCGUAAAGAGCGCGCAGGCGGUAUGACAAGUCAGAUGUGAAAGAGGCCGGCUUAACCGGCAAGGGUCAUUUGAAACUGUCAGACUAGAGUGCAGCAGAGGAUAGUGGAAUUCCCGGUGUAGUGGUGAAAUGCGUAGAUAUCGAGAGGAACACCAGUGGCGAAGGCGAGUCCCUGGACAACGACUGACACUGAGGCACGAAAGCUAGGGGAGCAAACAGG
rnacentral:rRNA from 1 species